rnacentral:rRNA from 1 species
GUAACACGUAUGUAACCUAACCUUUGUCAGGGGAUAGCCUCUCGAAAAGAGAGAUUAAGGCCCGAUAAAUUGAGGAUAUAGCAUUAUGAUCAAUCAAAUAUUUAUAGGACAAAGAUGGGCAUGCGGAAAUUAGCUAGUUGGUAAGGUAAUGGCUUACCAAGGCUACGAUGUUUAGGGGAUCUGAGAGGAUGACCCCCCAAAUUGGUACUGAGACACGGACCAGAAUCCUACGGGAGGCAGCAGUAAGGAAUAUCGGCCAAUGGGCGGAAGCCUGAACCAGCCAUGCCGCGUGCAGGAAGACGGCCCUACGGGUUGUAAACUGCUUUUGCAGGGGAAUAAACCCCCGUAUGUAUACGGGGUCGAAUGUACUCUGAGAAUAAGGAUCGGCUAACUCCGUGCCAGCAGCCGCGGUAAUACGGAGGAUCCGAGCGUUAUCCGGAUUUAUUGGGUUUAAAGGGUGCGUAGGCGGCUUAUUAAGUCAGGGGUGAAAGACGGUAGCUUAACUAUCGCAGUGCCCUUGAUACUGAUGAGCUUGAAUGUAGUUGAGG